GACGAACGCUGGCGGCGUGCCUAAUACAUGCAAGUUGAGCGAUGAAGAUUGGUGCUUGCACCAAUUUGAAGAGCAGCGAACGGGUGAGUAACGCGUGGGGAAUCUGCCUUUGAGCGGGGGACAACAUUUGGAAACGAAUGCUAAUACCGCAUAACAACUUUAAACAUAAGUUUUAAGUUUGAAAGAUGCAAUUGCAUCACUCAAAGAUGAUCCCGCGUUGUGUUAGCUAGUUGGUGAGGUAAAGGCUCACCAAGGCGAUGAUACAUAGCCGACCUGAGAGGGUGAUCGGCCACAUUGGGACUGAGACACGGCCCAAACUCCUACGGGAGGCAGCAGUAGGGAAUCUUCGGCAAUGGACGAAAGUCUGACCGAGCAACGCCGCGUGAGUGAAGAAGGUUUUCGGAUCGUAAAACUCUGUUGGUAGAGAAGAACGUUGGUGAGAGUGGAAAGCUCAUCAAGUGACGGUAACUACACAGAAAGGGACGGCUAACUACGUG
rnacentral:rRNA from 1 species